ACACUGUGGUUCAGAGAAAUUAAGUAGCUUGAAAUUCACAAAGCCUGGAAGUGGUGGAGCUAGGAUUUAAAGGGAAAAAUUCAAAGCUCAGGCCAUGUUGCUGGAUCUGUAACUGUGUUCAGUUUUCCAAGACUGUUCUCCAUCAGAAACAACUUGAUUCUCACACUUCUUUCAUCACUGAUGUCUUCCUGCCUCACUCCAUGCUCUGCAAAUUAGAAACAUGAAGCUGAAAAGCAGCUGAAGGGCAAGGGCAUUUGCAGUUAUCGUGUCCAAGGCCACGUUCUGCGGAGGAGGAAAGUGCAUGGUGAAAAGGCAGAUGGAACCUGGCUGCUCUUUGCCGCGGUCAGCAUGAGCAUGCGCCAGAUACCUCCCUGGAUGUAGAGAUGCAGAGGGUGUUUUGCAGGAACUCAGGUUUCUCAUAGAGGUAAUUUAGUUACCAUGUUGCCAGCCUCUGCAGACUUCCCAGUUUGCUGUCAUGGAAUUGGGAAAAACAGAAAACAUUUUACCCUCCACUUCCAGGGCCUCAUUCCCUGGGGCAAAGAGUUUAUAAAAGAUGAUGAGAGUGCAGGUGGCACCUUGGGGCAGCAGUGAGAGUAUCCAUCCAUUAAUCUCUGAAGAGCCAGGAAAAGCAACACUGUUCUAUGGAGACUUCAUCUCAUGCCUGUUUCCAGCCUCGUUCCCUGUCAGGUGCAGUGACCCUGGUAAUACUAGCCACACUAAGAAUCUUGCACGUCUCAAAAUAAAAAAUGCACUUUGAUGCU